rnacentral:rRNA from 1 species
GACGAACGCUGGCGGCGUGCUUAACACAUGCAAGUCGAACGGAAAGGCCCUGCUUUUGUGGGGUGCUCGAGUGGCGAACGGGUGAGUAACACGUGAGUAACCUGCCCUUGACUUUGGGAUAACUUCAGGAAACUGAGGCUAAUACCGGAUAGGAGCUCCUGCUGCAUGGUGGGGGUUGGAAAGUUUCGGCGGUUGGGGAUGGACUCGCGGCUUAUCAGCUUGUUGGUGGGGUAGUGGCUUACCAAGGCUUUGACGGGUAGCCGGCCUGAGAGGGUGACCGGCCACCUUGGGACUGAGAUACGGCCCAGACUCCUACGGGAGGCAGCAGUGGGGAAUAUUGCACAAUGGGCGGAAGCCUGAUGCAGCAACGCCGCGUGCGGGAUGACGGCCUUCGGGUUGUAAACCGCUUUCGCCUGUGACGAAGCGUGAGUGACGGUAAUGGGUAAAGAAGCACCGGCUAACUACGUG